rnacentral:lncRNA from 1 species
AGUAGAUUUCACGUUCAGCUUCAGCUUCAGAUUCCUAAACUACAUGAUCAAAUAUUAACAGGUAAACAAGUUCUGAGAUCAUUGUUAUAAGCUUUUUUACUAAAUGUCAUAGUAUAGGCUUGAGGGCUCCUGUUCCACCAACAAAUAGGGCACACGCCUUAGAGACCUACACUGAACUCAACCCAUAUGUUACAUGUGGCUUAGACCUUUUAGUGUUUUUAACG